UGAAUACGAGACGCUACGGCGUCGAAGCAGUCUAUGUCAUACUUCCAAGAAAAGCUUGCACUGUCAUAAACAAAUAAUGCCUGUACCAUAACCGACACAGGUGGGUAGGUAGAGUAUACUAAGGGGCGCGAGAUAACCCUCUCUAAGGAACUCGGCAAAAUCACUCCGUAACUUCGGGAGAAGGAGUGCCUUAUUUAUAAGGUUGCAAUAACAAGAUCCAAGCAACUGUUUAUCAAAAACACAGGUCUCCGCUAAGUCGUAAGACGAUGUAUGGGGGCUGACGCCUGCCCAGUGCCAGAAGGUUAAAGAAGAUGGUUAGCAUUAGCGAAGCUGAUAACUGAAGCCCUGGUGAACGGCGGCCGUAACAAUAACGGUCCUAAGGUAGCGAAAUUCCUUGUCGGGUAAGUUCCGACCCGCACGAAAGGCGUAAUGAUUUGGAUACUGUCUCGGAGAGGGGCUCGGUGAAAUAGACUUGUCUGUGAAGAUGCGGACUACCUGCACCUGGACAGAAAGACCCUAUGAAGCUUUACUGUAACCUGAAAUUGAAAUUGGACUUUAUUUGCGCAGUAUAGGUGGGAGGCGUUGAGAAUAUUCUUGCGGGAAUAUUGGAGCCAUCAGUGAGAUACCACUCUUGUAAUGUUAGAUUUCUAACUUUGAAUCAUUAUCUGGUCAAAGAACAGUUUCAGGCGGGCAGUUUGACUGGGGCGGUCGCCUCCUAAAUGGUAACGGAGGCGCACAAAGGUUUCCUCUGAACGGGUAGAAAUCGUAUCUAGAGUGUAAAGGCAUAAGGAAGCUUGACUGUGAGACCUACAAGUCGAGCAGGGACGAAAGUCGGUCUUAGUGAUCUGACGGUGCUGAGUGGAAAGGCCGUCACUCAACGGAUAAAAGUUACUCUAAGGAUAACAGGCUGAUCUCCCCCAAGAGUUCACAUCGACGGGGAGGUUUGGCACCUCGAUGUCGGCUCAUCGCAUCCUGGGGCGGUAGUACGUCCCAAGGGUUGGGCUGUUCGCCCAUGAAAGCGGUACGCGAGCUGGGUUCAGAACGUCGUGAGACAGUUCGGUCCAUAUCCGGUGUAGGCGUUAGAAUAUUGAGAGGAGCCUUCUUUAGUACGAGAGGACCGAGAAGGACAUACCUCUGGUGUACCAGUUAUCGUGCCAACGGUAAACGCUGGGUAGCUAUGUAUGGAGAGGAUAACCGCUGAAAGCAUCUAAGUGGGAAGCCCACCUCAAGAUAAGUAUUCUC
rnacentral:rRNA from 1 species